UGCCUAAUACAUGCAAGUCGAGCGAACAGACGAGGAGCUUGCUCCUCUGACGUUAGCGGCGGACGGGUGAGUAACACGUGGGUAACCUACCUAUAAGACUGGGAUAACUUCGGGAAACCGGAGCUAAUACCGGAUAAUAUAUUGAACCGCAUGGUUCAAUAGUGAAAGACGGUUUUGCUGUCACUUAUAGAUGGAUCCGCGCCGCAUUAGCUAGUUGGUAAGGUAACGGCUUACCAAGGCAACGAUGCGUAGCCGACCUGAGAGGGUGAUCGGCCACACUGGAACUGAGACACGGUCCAGACUCCUACGGGAGGCAGCAGUAGGGAAUCUUCCGCAAUGGGCGAAAGCCUGACGGAGCAACGCCGCGUGAGUGAUGAAGGUCUUCGGAUCGUAAAACUCUGUUAUUAGGGAAGAACAAAUGUGUAAGUAACUAUGCACGUCUUGACGGUACCUAAUCAGAAAGCCACGGCUAACUACGUGCCAGCAGCCGCGGUAAUACGUAGGUGGCAAGCGUUAUCCGGAAUUAUUGGGCGUAAAGCGCGCGUAGGCGGUUUUUUAAGUCUGAUGUGAAAGCCCACGGCUCAACCGUGGAGGGUCAUUGGAAACUGAAAAACUUGAGUGCAGAAGAGGAAAGUGGAAUUCCAUGUGUAGCGGUGAAAUGCGCAGAGAUAUGGAGGAACACCAGUGGCGAAGGCGACUUUCUGGUCUGUAACU
rnacentral:rRNA from 1 species